GCAGGUGUUAGUCCUGUUGGUAGGACACUGGACUCCACAUCAAUCUUCGAGGUCGCAGGUUCAAAUUCUGUUUCUUGCA
rnacentral:tRNA from 1 species